rnacentral:piRNA from 1 species
UAGCGAUUGCAGAGUAAGAUU